GGCCAGGUCAAACGCCGCAGCAGCCUCGCUCCGUUUUCCAAAAUCCUCUUCACUUAGGCAUGCUCGAUGAGUGCUGCAGCACUGCCAUCCCUAAAUCAGAAGAUAGUCGGAAGAAGGAAGAAGAAGAAGAAGAAGGUCGUGGAAUAUCGAAAGCUUUUAGCUUUGUGAAGGCACUAUGUUUCACUGAAAUUCAAAACAAAGGUGAAGGCGAUAUCUGUAUCCUUCUACACAUGCAUUUAGGAAACUUUGAUGAUUCACCUAUAUUCGACCAACUGUUAUGUGCAUUCUCUAAACUUUUAUAUUUAUUGUCAUUAUCGUAUGUUAAUAUUAUGCCAUAAAAAGCUGAAAUCAAAUUUAUUGUUUUGCUAGCUGAUCUUAUUGUCACAGGUUACAAUUUCACAUUUUUACUUUCAAUUCUUCUUCCUUUUUUUUUGUCUUUUUGGAGAGCAUGAGUGUAAAGUUUGAUCACUGAGUUUGACAAACAAAUAUAUUGAAAUAUAAAAAUUGAAUUUAAAUUUGUCAACUA